AGCAGUUGAACAUCAGAUACCCAGAGUGACAUCAGGUUAAAAAAAAGCCUGCAAUUUGGAUCUUUUCCUGACUCGGAAGCAAGGAAAAUGGACAAUUGAUAAUCAAAGGCUAAAUCUCUUCUGGGAUCCACUGAAUGCCACUAGAGGGUCUGCUUGAGAGAAUUCCUGAUUGAAUGACAACGGCGCUAAGAACAGUAAGUCAUGGUUGGGAAGCAGUAAGGGAAGAAUGGAGCCCAGAUAUCCUAAAUUAAAAUAUAAAAGGCUAUCGUUAUUAGGCAUGUACAU
rnacentral:sRNA from 1 species